rnacentral:rRNA from 1 species
UACGAAGGUGGCAAGCGUUACUCGGAAUUACUAGGCGUAAAGGGCAGGUAGGUGGUUUGGUUAGUCUGUUGUGAAAGCUCCUUGCUUAACGGGGAGAGGUCAACAGAUACUGCCAGACUUGAGUAUGGGAGAGGGUACUGGAAUUCCGGUGUAGCGGUGAAAUGCGCAGAGAUCGGGAAGAACGCCGGCGGCGAAAGCGACUCUCUGGUCGGAUCCGUGGCGCUGAGGCACGAAAAGCUAGGGGAGCAAACAGGG